AGUUCUAGUUCUGCAGUGUGCGACUUUGCCGGAUGUGACUGUAACUUCGCUAGCUAAAAUGCUUGAGAGCGGACCCUUCAUCCCUUUGAGCAUGUUUCUUCCUAAGAUGCGCGGGUACUGGGAGAUCAAGAUGAGGGAUGUCAUGUGCCUUGUGAACUGUCACCCGCCGUGCGCUGAAGCGCAGUGGCACAAUCUCAGCUGACUGCAACCUCCGCCUCCCGAGUUCAAGCGAUUCUCAUGCCUCAGCCUCCUGAGUAGCUGGGAUUACAGGCGCCUGCCACCACGCCUGGCUAAUUUUUGUAUUUUUAGUAGAGAUGGGGUUUUGCCAUUUUGGCCAGGCUGGUCUCGAACUCCUGACCUCGGGUGAUCCACCUGCCUCGGCCUCCCAAAGUACUGGAAUUACAGGCGUGAGCCACCGCACCCGGCCCUCCCCCAACUUAUUUCAGAAUAUUUGAUGCUGAAUUUCCACCAGCCAGAGUUCCCUGAGAGCGGGGGCUACAUCUUGUACUGUGACUGUGAACGAGGCCUAGCAGAGCCUGGUAGAAGUUCCAUGUUUGGUUGAAGGAAUGAAUGUGGAUGCCUCUCCUCUUAUCCACUCCUCUCCUCAAUCUGGUUGAUGGGCAGGUGGCGUCCAUUUGUCUGAAGAGGUAAAUGAUAGGAAGAAACUCUAGCCACCACCAUGCACACAGAUUUCCUGACUUCCAACUCAAGUUUCUUUCCUCUUCAUCACACAGGAUAUCUCCAAUUCAUUGCAACUGUUUCAGGAUACCAACUCUUGGGCAGAAGCACAAAUGGGAGCAGGUUGAACCCACUUUCACCUACUGAGCAUAUUCCAUACUAGUCAUCAGAAUGUUUAGAUAGUAUGUUAAUAUGUCAGUUGUUAAGCCUAUGAAGAAUAUAUGUUAAAAGAAGCAAUGUGGCCAGGCAAGCUGGCUCACUCUUGUAAUCCCAGCGCUUUAAGAGGCUGAGGCAGGAGGAUCCCUUGAGGCCAGGAGUUCAAGACCAGCGUGGGCAACAGGCUUCAAAAAAGAAGAAAUGUAAAAGCAGAGAUGUGAACAAGAGAUAGAGUGCAUCUUUGUUGCUUGGGUGCUCCCCCUGUUGUCCAAUGGCAGAAGCUCCACGUCUUCCUCUGAGGGCUGAAUCUGGUUCUACUUGUGCCCAUUGGAUCCUCUUAUUGAUGAGGGUUACAAAGGCCGAGAUUGGCCUGCCAGAGAGACCCACAGCACCUCUUCAGACUUACUACCUUCUUUCCUUUCCUUCUUUUGACAAAUAUGUAUUGAGCACUCCUAGUCCAGGAAUUGUACCAAAUGCCCAGAAUAUAAAUGAACAAGACAUGGUCCUCAACCACCACCCUAGAGACAGGCAUAAAAAGAACUGACAGUAACAAGCCCCUAAUUUCAUGUAGUAAAUUAUAUCUAAUAAAGUGCCUUCGCUUUUCAUGGAAUCUUCAUAGCAACCAUCUGCAGAAGAGGUAUCAUUAUCCCUGAUGAGAAAUGGAGUCUCAAAGCGUUUAACUUAAAGUGGCUCUCUCUGGGCAAAAACUUCAAAGUUCUUUGGAAACAAAAUGAGUAAUUCAGUCCCCUACCCUCUAAUUAGAUAGUUUGAUGGGUGUAAAGCUAGAUUAUGCUUGUCAGAACAUACACCAGGGUUUGUCUCUUAGUUACACUGGUCUGAACCCAGGAAUUUCAGGAUAGUGAGGAAUAUAACCAAGCAAAUUACACAGAAAAUGACUGUUCACUUACAGUUAGUUCUGCAUACUGAGAACUCGAAUUCUGAAUGGACUAAAGAUAAAGAAGAAAUACAAGUCUUUAGUUUCGAAUUAGAGAGGUCAUAACUCAGAAUCAAGAAUGCAAGAAUUGUCUUGCAGUGUUUUCUUUUCCCUUUAGCAAACUGCUGCCCAUGGUAUAAAACAGUUAUAUCCACUGGAACAAAACAGGAACACUUCUUGUCCCAAAUGCAGACUUUAAUUUAUUUUUAUUUUAUUUUAUUUUAUUUUUGAGACAGAGUCUCGCUCUGUCGCCAGUCGUCAGGCUUGAGUGCAGUGGCGCGAUCUCGGCUCACUGCAACGUCCGCCUCCCGGGUUCAAGUGAUUCUCCUGCCUCAGCCUCCUGUGUAGUUACCUCAGCAAACUUUAAUUUUCCGUUUUUCUCAUCUGGCUCUCCAGGUAGAAACUACCUUCUUUUCUUUUUGAGAUAGAGUCUCCCUCCAUUGCCCAGGCUGGAGUGCAGUGGCACGAUCUCGACUCACUGCAACCUCUGUCUCGUUUCCCAGGUUCAAGCGAUUCUUGUGCCUCAGCCACCCAAGUAGCUGAGACUACAGGCGCACGCCAUCAUGCCCGGCUAGUUUUUGUAUUUUUUAUAGAGACGUGGUUUUGACAUGUUUCCCCGGUUGGUCUCAAACUCCUGGCCUCAAGUGAUCCACUCGCCUCUGCCUCCCAAAGUGCUAGGAUUACAGGCAUGAGCCACCACGCCCGGCCUGUUGUUGUUUUAAUGUUCUUCCAGUUUUCAUCAAUAACCACAUAUUUCUUUCAUUCUUUUUUGUUUUCUUUUGUUUUUUGAGACACGGCUAGAGUGCAGUGGCACAAUCAUGGCUCACCACAGUCUCCACCUCCUAGGCUCACGAGAUUCUCCCACCUCAGCCUCCCCAGUAGCUGAGACUACAGGCUCAUGCCACCAUGCCCAGUUAAUUUUGUUGUUGUUGUACUUUUAGUAGAGACAGUGUUCCGCCCUGUUUCCCAGGCUAGUCACAAACUGCUAGGCUCAAGCAAUCCACAUGCCUCAGCCUUCCAAAGUGCUAGGAUUACAAGUGUGAGCCACCAUAUUUCUUUCUUUUUUUUGGAGGCGGGGGCCGGGGAUACAGGGUCUCACUCUGUCGCCCAGGCUGGAGUGCAAUGGCAGGAUCUCGGCUCACCCCAACCUCCGCCUCCCAGGUUCAAGUGAUUCUCCUGCCUCAGCCUCUCAAGUAUCUGGGAUUACAGGCACACACCACUACCACCCAGUUAAUUUUUGUAUUUUUACUAGAGACAGGGUUUCACCAUGUUGUCCAGGCUGGUCUCAAACUCCUGACCACAAAUGACCCACCCGCCUGGGCCUCCCAAAGUACUGUGAGCCACCGUGCCCGGCCCUAGCCACAUAUUUCUUUUGUAAUUCUAAAAAUAUUGUUAUAGAAGUAGGAAAAAAUUUAUCUUGGUUUAUCUCCUGCUGAAAAUGGGCUCUCUCCUGCCUGGGGUUACAGCAAAGUCAAACCUAGAGUCUCUUGAGGCCAGGCAAGGUGGCUUAUGCCUAUAAUCCAGCACUUUGGGGGGCCAAGGUGGGAGGAUUACUUGAGGCCUGGAGUUCAAGACCAGCUUGGGCAACAUAGGCAGACCUCAUCUCUACUAAAAAUAAAUAAAUAAAUAAGUAGCCAGGUGUGGUGAUGUGCACCUGUAGUUCCAGCUACUUGAGAGGCUGAGGAGGGAGAAUUGCUUAAGCCCAGGAGAUGGAGGCUGCAGUGAGCUGUGAUCACACCACUGCACUGGGCAAGAGAGUGAGCACCCUGUCUCAAAACAACAACAACAACAAACCCUAGAGUUGUUUGUAUGACAGACAAAAUAAUUUUUAAAUGUUUUAUUGAAGUAACAACAUACAAAAAAGUUGUAGAGUAGUACAACCCACUGAAAUUCUACAAACUAACUGGACACUCCCAUUGUAAUCAGCAAUGAGAACAUGGCUAGCAGCCAGGCACAGUGACUCAGGCAUGAAAUCCCAGUAUUUUGGGAGGCCGAAGCAGGCAGAUCACCUGAGGUCAGGAGUUCGAGACCAGCGUGGGCAACAUGGUGAAACCCUGUCCCUACUAAAAAUACAAAAAUUAGCUGGACAUGGUGUUGCACGCCUACAGUCCCAGCUACUUGGGAGGCUGAGGCUGGAGAAUGGCUUGAACCCCAGAGGCAGAGGUUGCAGUGAGCUGAGAUUGUGCCACUGCACACAAGCCUGGGUGACAGAGUGAGACUCUCUCUCAAAAAAAAGGAGUGGGGGGAACAUAUCUAGCACCCCCAGAAACUUGCCUUAUGUCCUCUUCUGAACCCUCCAGCUUGGGCAACAGAGCAAGACCCUGUAUCUAAAGGAUAGCAGCAUCCUGACUUCUAUCCCUGUAGCUUAGUUUUGCCAGCUUUUAAACUUGAUAUGUUAAAUCAUACAGUAUGUACUUGGGCUUCUUUCACUCAGUAUUAUGUUUGUAGAAUUCAUCUAAGUUGUCCUAUGUAAUAAUAGUCCACUCAUUCUUAUUGCUGUAUAGAAUUCCACUGUAUGAAUCUCUGAUUCAUUUAUCUAUCCAAUUGUUGAUGAGCAUUUGGAUAGUUUUCAGCCCAGGGCUGUUAUAAAUAAAGCUAUUACCAACA